AGUACAUCUGCCGAAACCUUAGUGGAUUGAUUAGGCGACUUUAAAUAAAUAUAAUCCUCGGGAGCAUCCCGAGCACUAGCCAUCACUGCGGAUGGUGACAUUACCAGUUUGCGGGAACAUUUCAGCCCCGCUGGGUAACCCGCAGUCACGAUCGUGACUCACAGGCUAAAUGGUAAUGGGCGUGGCUGUUUAGGCAGCUAGGCUUCAGAUAUAGUCGGUCCCCAGAUAACUCUGGGAGUCUUAAGGAAUUUGGAUGUCAUAUUUUCCCUUAAGCGAGUCGACGUUCCGUAGGUGAACCUGCGGAAGGAUCAUUA
rnacentral:rRNA from 1 species